UACAGAGGUCUCAAGCGUUGUUCGGAUUCAUUGGGCGUAAAGGGUGCGUAGGCGGCGCGGUAAGUCGGGUGUGAAAUCUCGGAGCUUAACUCCGAAACUGCAUUCGAUACUGCCGUGCUUGAGGACUGGAGAGGAGACUGGAAUUUACGGUGUAGCGGUGAAAUGCGUAGAUAUCGUCAAGAACACCGAUAGCGAAGGCAGCUUACUGGGCUGUAACUGACGCUGAGGCACGAAAGUGUGGGGAGUCAAACAG
rnacentral:rRNA from 1 species